AGAGUUUGAUCAUGGCUCAGAUUGAACGCUGGCGGCAGGCCUAACACAUGCAAGUCGAGCGGUAGCACAGAGAGCUUGCUCUCGGGUGACGAGCGGCGGACGGGUGAGUAAUGUCUGGGAAACUGCCUGAUGGAGGGGGAUAACUACUGGAAACGGUAGCUAAUACCGCAUAACGUCGCAAGACCAAAGUGGGGGACCUUCGGGCCUCAUGCCAUCAGAUGUGCCCAGAUGGGAUUAGCUAGUAGGUGGGGUAACGGCUCACCUAGGCGACGAUCCCUAGCUGGUCUGAGAGGAUGACCAGCCACACUGGAACUGAGACACGGUCCAGACUCCUACGGGAGGCAGCAGUGGGGAAUAUUGCACAAUGGGCGCAAGCCUGAUGCAGCCAUGCCGCGUGUGUGAAGAAGGCCUUCGGGUUGUAAAGCACUUUCAGCGGGGAGGAAGGCGUUAAGGUUAAUAACCUUGGCGAUUGACGUUACCCGCAGAAGAAGCACCGGCUAACUCCGUGCCAGCAGCCGCGGUAAUACGGAGGGUGCAAGCGUUAAUCGGAAUUACUGGGCGUAAAGCGCACGCAGGCGGUCUGUCAAGUCGGAUGUGAAAUCCCCGGGCUCAACCUGGGAACUGCAUUCGAAACUGGCAGGCUAGAGUCUUGUAGAGGGGGGUAGAAUUCCAGGUGUAGCGGUGAAAUGCGUAGAGAUCUGGAGGAAUACCGGUGGCGAAGGCGGCCCCCUGGACAAAGACUGACGCUCAGGUGCGAAAGCGUGGGGAGCAAACAGGAUUAGAUACCCUGGUAGUCCACGCCGUAAACGAUGUCGAUUUGGAGGUUGUGCCCUUGAGGCGUGGCUUCCGGAGCUAACGCGUUAAAUCGACCGCCUGGGGAGUACGGCCGCAAGGUUAAAACUCAAAUGAAUUGACGGGGGCCCGCACAAGCGGUGGAGCAUGUGGUUUAAUUCGAUGCAACGCGAAGAACCUUACCUGGUCUUGACAUCCACAGAACUUUCCAGAGAUGGAUUGGUGCCUUCGGGAACUGUGAGACAGGUGCUGCAUGGCUGUCGUCAGCUCGUGUUGUGAAAUGUUGGGUUAAGUCCCGCAACGAGCGCAACCCUUAUCCUUUGNGUCGCAAGACCAAAGUGGGGGACCUUCGGGCCUCAUGCCAU
rnacentral:rRNA from 1 species